rnacentral:rRNA from 1 species
AAUCGAACCCGGAGAUAGCUGGUUCUCCCCGAAAUAGCUUUAGGGCUAGCGUCGGAAAGAACCUUAGUGAAGGUAGAGCACUGAAUGUGUGAUGGCCCCAUCCCGGGGUACUGAAUACAAUCAAACUGCGAAUGUCAUUAAGGAUGUCCGGCAGUCAGACUGUGAGUGAUAAGGUCCAUGGUCAAGAGGGAAACAGCCCAGACCGCCAGUUAAGGUCCCAAAAUACAGGCUAAGUGGAAAAGGAUGUGGGGAUGCCCAGACAACUAGGAGGUUGGCUCAGAAGCAGCCAUCCUUUAAAGAGUGCGUAACAGCUCACUAGUCGAGUGACCCUGCGCCGAAAAUGUACCGGGGCUAAGCCUGAUACCGAAACUGCGGAUUGUAGGAAACUAUAGUGGUAGGGGAGCGUUGUAUACGAGCAGAAGCCGUACCGUGAGGAGCGGUGGAUUGUAUAGAAGUGAGAAUGCCGGUGUGAGUAGCGAGAUGUAGGUGAGAAUCCUACACACCGAAAGCCCAAGGAUUCCAGGGGAAGGUUCGUCCGCCCUGGGUAAGUCGGGACCUAACGCGAGGCCGAAAGGCGUAGUGGAUGGAAAGCAGGCGAAAGAUUCCUGCACCCGUAUAUGGAGCGAAGGAGUGACGGAGACGGAUAGUGUGACCCUCUUAAUGGAUUGAGGGCGAAGCGAAGCGGCUGGUUACCAGGCAAAUCCGGUAACCUUAAGGCUAGAGCGUGACAGGUAAGCGAAAUCUUAGGAAAGUAGCGAAGCACAUGAUGACGGCUUCCAGGAAAAGCUUCUGGCAAUGCAUAUGCGGCCCGUACCAAAACCGACACAGGUGGGCAGGGAGAGAAUCCCGAGGUGAGCGAGAGAACUGUUGCCAAGGAACUCGGCAAAAUGACUCCGUAAGUUAGCGAGAAGGAGUGCUUAAGCAAUUAAGCCGCAGUGAAGAGGCCCAAGCGACUGUUUAACUAAAACACAGCUCUCUGCGAAGUCGCAAGACGAAGUAUAGGGGGUGACACCUGCCCGGUGCUGGAAGGUUAAGAGGAUCUGUUAAGAGCGAUCUGAAGCAGUGAUCCGAAGCCCCAGUGAACGGCGGCCGUAACUAUAACGGUCCUAAGGUAGCGAAAUUCCUUGUCAGGUAAGUUCUGACCCGCACGAAAGGUGUAACGAUUUGGGCGCUGUCUCGGCAGCAGACUCGGUGAAAUCUUAGUACCUGUGAAAAUGCAGGUUACCCGCAACUAGACGGAAAGACCCCAUGGAGCUUUACUGCAGCCUGAUAUUGAAUUCUGGUCAUACAUGUACAGGAUAGGUGGGAGACAAAGAGACGUGCACGCCAGUGUACGAGGAGUCGCCGUUGGGAUACCACUCUUGUGUGAUCGGGGUUCUAACCUGGUAUCGAGAACAGGUACGGGGAGAGUGUCAGGUGGGCAGUUUGACUGGGGCGGUCGCCUCCCAAAGAGUAACGGAGGCGCCCAAAGGUACGCUCAGAUUGGAUGGAAACCAAUCGUCGAGUGCAAUUGCAGAAGCGUGCUUGACUGUGAGACAGACAAGUCGAACAGGGACGAAAGUCGGGAAUAGUGAUCCGGCGGUGCCGAAUGGAAGGGCCGUCGCUCAACGGAUAAAAGCUACCCUGGGGAUAACAGGCUGAUCUCCCCCAAGAGUCCACAUCGACGGGGAGGUUUGGCACCUCGAUGUCGGCUCAUCGCAUCCUGGGGCUGUAGUAGGUCCCAAGGGUUGGGCUGUUCGCCCAUUAAAGCGGUACGCGAGCUGGGUUCAGAACGUCGUGAGACAGUUCGGUCCCUAUCUGUUGUGGGCGAAGGAGAUCUGCGGAGAGCUGUCCUCAGUACGAGAGGACCGGGAUGGACCUACCGCUGGUGCACCGGUUGUUCCGCCAGGGGCAUAGCCGGGUAGCUAAGUAGGGAAAGGAUAAGCGCUGAAAGCAUCUAAGCACGAAGCCUACUCCAAGAUGAGAUCUCCCAUUCG